GACAGAGGGUGCAAACGUUGUUCGGAAUUACUGGGCGUAAAGCGCGUGUAGGCGGCAAGGCAAGUCGGAUGUGAAAGCCCACGGCUCAACCGUGGAAGUGCACCCGAAACUGCCUAGCUAGAGUCUCGGAGAGGAAGGUGGAAUGCUUGGUGUAGAGGUGAAAUUCGUAGAUAUCAAGCGGAACACCGGUGGCGAAGGCGGCCUUCUGGACGAUGACUGACGCUGAGACGCGAAAAGCGUGGGGAGCAAACAGG
rnacentral:rRNA from 1 species